CAUUCUCUUAUGCUCUCAUUUCCGUAUUCUUAGGAUUGGACAGCAAAGGGAACUCUCUCCCACAGGUACGACCUCAAUCAAGCCUCAUCCCGUAGCGUCGGACCUGUCAGAAUACUUCCUCCAAAUCUUCAAUAUGGCUCGAGCAGGAUCCGGAACGGACCACCAUGUCGUCCAUAUACACAUCCAUUCACCGCCAAUCUGUUCCGCGAAGAUUCUAUUCAUCAAGUGUUGGUAAGUCGCCCCCGCGUUCUUCAAUCUGAAGGGCAUGACUUCAUAACUGUAAUUAGCUUUUUCCGUUAUAAAGGCUGUCUUUUCCCUGUCCGGUGCGUACAUUGCAAUUUGGUUAUAACCCGAGUAUGUCUCCAGAAAACAUAGCAUUUUGAGGCCGGACACCUUGUCAACCAAACCAUCGAUACUCUAGAGAGGGUGGGCAUCUUUGGGGCAGGCCUUGUUGAGAUCUGUGUAGUCGUUGCACAUGCGCCAUUUUCCACUAGCCUUUUACUCCAUGACUACGUUUGCAAGCCAAGUGGUAUAAGUCACCUCCUUCACGAAUCCUGCCUCCUUCAAUUUGUCGACCUCCUCCUCCAUGACCUUCCUCUUCUCGUCAACCAGCUUUCUCCUCUUCUGGGCGACCGGUCUUGCCUCUUUGAAUAGGGCCAGCUUAUGAGACAUGACUGAUGGGUGUAUCCUUGGCAAAUUGGUGGACGUCCAGGCAAAGAGGUCUCGAUUACGCCAUAGAAUGGACCAGAGCUUUCGCUCAACAUCUUCCAGGCUUCCGGCUAUCGAGGUGGUUUGUGAGGCAUCGUUUCCUAUUACUACCGAUUUUAGUUCCCCUAGGGGCUCCAUGCAGUCCUCUGUGUUAGUACGUGGGUCGAGGUAAGCCAUGGCUACUUACUGAGUGUGGAUGAAGCUUUAGGUAAGCAGCAUAACACUCUUGCGCUAUUUUCUGAUCUGCCCGAACGGUGCACACCGUCCCCCUCCCCGUCGGAUACUUCAUGGUGAGGUGUGGGGUUGAGACUAUUGCGCCAAAAGCGUUCAGGCAGGGCCAACCCAAAAGAACAUUGUAAGAUGUGUUGGCCUUUACCAACAUAUACCGCACCCACAUCUCGUCACUAUCUCGGCCGGUUCCCAAGCGAGUGCGAAGAUCUACGUAGCUACUUGUGUCCACUAGCUCUCCAGCGAAACCCACUAUAUGUUCAUUAUAAGGGACUAUAAGAUCCUCAGUCAAGUCCAUCUUCUGGAACGUCCUCUAGAAGAGGAUGUUGACAGAACUGCCCUGAUUGACAAGUACCUUGCUCACGCUAUACCUAGCUAUCUCGGCAGUAACAACCAUACGGUCAUCCUACUCCCGGUCGGGAGCAUUAAAAUCUUCAUAAGUGAAGGUGAUUGGAGGCAUAGUGCUUCUAGGCCUAUACACAGCAUGGACCGACCGGAGAGCCUGUACGUGCCGUUUUCUAGCCGACGACGACGAUCCGCCUUCGGCAAAGCCGUCGGAGAUCGUGUUGAUGUGACCACGUAGUGACCGGUCAUGGCUUCCGCUGCGGCUUCAGCUCCGCCUUCGCUCCGACUAAGGGUGAUUAUUUUCCCCUAUCGUGGACGACCCUUGUACUCUCGCUUUUUCGGGCUUCUCCGUCGUGGACUACGUCAAGAUCGUUAAACAUGUUUGGCUGGCCGCUCGGCCUUCACGUACUUCUUUAACUGACUCGCUCGAACCAGCUCCUCAAUCUUGUCCAUCAGGGUUACACACUCCUCCGUAGUGUGGCCCAUGUUCUUGUGGUAUAAAUAGUGUUUGUUACCAUUCGCCCCUGGUGGCAUGGGGCGUCGCUUCUGCGCCGGAAUCAGUUUCGCGCUCAGCACCUCUUACAAUAUCUUCGCCCGAGGAGCGUUCAAUGGGGUGUACUGUUGAAAAUGAGACCCUUUAGGUAACUCUUUGUUUGAACUCUCCCAGUCUUCCGAACGGACCGCCUUGCUUCUUGGUAUCCGUCUUCUCCCCCUUCGCUUCUUGACCCUCCUUCCUAUAGCUUUGUUUCAUCUCUUCUACCCUUAUUUCGUCGGCCACCCGUUCUCUCAGCUCUUCCAUGAUCUUUGGUGCCCGUCGGCACACACUAUCCUUAAAGGGUCCCGGCUUCAAGGCUGGUAGUAUGUAUUGGAGGGCAAGCUCGUAAUUAAGACCCUUUACCCGCCGCACGAUUUUCUGAUAGCGAUCCAUAAAAGUCCUCAAGGGUUCUUCAUUCCCCUACCUUAGGUUCACGAGCUCAAAAAUGGUUAGGUCGUAAGCCCGACUACUAACGAACUGGCGUCCAAACAUGACUUUGAGGCUCUCAAAGUUUUCGAUAGAAUUAGGGGGCAGCGAGUUGAACCACUCUAAUGCCUCUCCUUCGAGCGAUAGAGAGAAAGCUCGGCACUAGAUAGUGUCGUUCCCGGUGUUGAACGCCAGUCGGUUGGUCGUCUUGAUAUGAUCGUCCGGAUCAGUCGUCCCAUCAUAAAUCUUGAAAUUGGGCGGGACGAACUGUUCGGAUAUGUGAACAUCCAUAAUAGUUUGGAUGAACGGUAAGUUUCCGGAAGUGCUCUCGGCUUUCACCACCAAUUGUCUACUAACUACAACACUCUCGGCAAGGAUGAUCUUUGUCCCACUCUCUCGGACCCUGGUCUCGGUCGGCUUCCACGUCUCGUCCGACAUAGUAUUUUGUUCAGUCCUCUCCUCCUAAGCAGCCUUGCCCCGACCCUCUAGUGCCUUCUACCCCGUUUUCGGGAUCUUCUUCUAAGCAAUCUAAGCCGAACACUUGGCCCGAACGACUGCCAACUCAGCCUCAUGACGUUGUUGUUUUCUUCCAUUUUCUGUUGUAGCAUCCUAAUCAUCUCUGUGGGGUCUUUAGUGCUCAUGUUCCUCGUGGUCACCAUUGGGUUUGACAAGUCCAUCUUCUGGAACGUCCUCUAGAAGAGGAUGUUGACAGAACUGCCCUGAUUGACAAGUAACUUGCUCACGCUAUACCUAGCUAUCUCGGCAGUAACAACCAUACGGUCAUCCUACUCCCGGUCGGGAGCAUUAAAAUCUUCAUAAGUGAAGGUGAUUGGAGGCAUAGUGCUUCUAGGCCUAUACACAGCAUGGACCGACCGGAGAGCCUGUACGUGCCGUUUUCUAGCCGACGACGACGAUCCGCCUUCGGCAAAGCCGUCGGAGAUCGUGUUGAUGUGACCACGUAGUGACCGGUCACGGCUUCCGCUGCGGCUUCAGAUCCGCCUUCGCUCCGACUAAGGGUGAUUAUUUUCCCCUGUCGUGGACGACCCUUGUACUCUCGCUUUUUCGGGCUUCUCCGUCGUGGACUACGUCAAGAUCGUUAAACAUGUUUGGCUGGCCGCUCGGCCUUCACGUACUUCUUUAACUGACUCGCUCGGACCAGCUCCUCAAUCUUGUCCAUCAGGGUUACACACUCCUCCGUAGUGUGGCCCAUGUUCUUGUGGUAUAAAUAGUGUUUGUUACCAUUCGCCCCUGGUGGCAUGGGGCGUCGCUUCUGCGCCGGAAUCAGUUUCGCACUCAGCACCUCCUACAAUAUCUUCUCCCGAGGAGCGUUCAAUGGGGUGUACUGUUGAAAAUGAGACCCUUUAGGUAACUCUUUGUUUGAACUCUCCCAGUCUUCCGAACGGACCGCCUUGCUUCUUGGUAUCCGUCUUCUCCCCCUUCGCUUCUUGACCCUCCUUCCUAUAGCUUUGUUUCAUCUCUUCUACCCUUAUUUCGUCGGCCACCCGUUCUCUCAGCUCUUCCAUGAUCUUUGGUGCCCGUCGGCACACACUAUCCUUAAAGGGUCCCGGCUUCAAGGCUGGUAGUAUGUAUUGGAGGGCAAGCUCGUAAUUAAGACCCUUUACCCGCCGCACGAUUUUCUGAUAGCGAUCCAUAAAAGUCCUCAAGGGUUCUUCAUUCCCCUACCUUAGGUUCACGAGCUCAAAAAUGGUUAGGUCUUAAGCCCGACUACUAACGAACUGACGUCCAAACAUGACUUUGAGGCUCUCAAAGUUUUCGAUAGAAUUAGGGGGCAGCGAGUUGAACCACUCUAACGCCUCUCCUUCGAGCGAUAGAGAGAAAGCUCGGCACUAGAUAGUGUCGUUCCCGGUGUUGAACGCCAGUCGGUUGGUCGUCUUGAUAUGAUCGUCCGGAUCAGUCGUCCCAUCAUAAAUCUUGAAAUUGGGCGGGACGAACUGUUCGGAUAUGUGAACAUCCAUAAUAGUUUGGAUGAACGGUAAGUUUCCGGAAGUGCUCUCGGCUUUCACCACCAAUUGUCUACUAACUACAACACUCUCGGCAAGGACGAUCUUUGUCCCACUCUCUCGGACCCUGGUCUCGGUCGGCUUCCACGUCUCGUCCGACAUAGUAUUUUGUUCAGUCCUCUCCUCCUAGGCAGCCUUGCCCCGACCCUCUAGUGCCUUCUACCCCGUUUUCGGGAUCUUCUUCUAAGCAAUCUGAGCCGAACACUUGGCCCGAACGAUUGCCAACUCAGCCUCAUGACGUUGUUGUUUUCUUCCAUUUUCUGUUGUAGCAUCCUAAUCAUCUCUGUGGGGUCUUUAGUGCUCAUGUUCCUCGUGGUCACCAUUGGGUUUGACAAGUCCAUCUUCUGGAACGUCCUCUAGAAGAGGAUGUUGACAGAACUGCCCUGAUUGACAAGUACCUUGCUCACGCUAUACCUAGCUAUCUCGGCAGUAACAACCAUACGGUCAUCCUACUCCCGGUCGGGAGCAUUAAAAUCUUCAUAAGUGAAGGUGAUUGGAGGCAUAGUGCUUCUAGGCCUAUACACAGCAUGGACCGACCGGAGAGCCUGUACGUGCCGUUUUCUAGCCGACGACGACGAUCCGCCUUCGGCAAAGCCGUCGGAGAUCGUGUUGAUGUGACCACGUAGUGACCGGUCACGGCUUCCGCUGUGGCUUCAGAUCCGCCUUCGCUCCGACUAAGGGUGAUUAUUUUCCCCUAUCGUGGACGACCCUUGUACUCUCGCUUUUUCGGGCUUCUCCGUCGUGGACUACGUCAAGAUCGUUAAACAUGUUUGGCUGGCCGCUCGGCCUUCACGUACUUCUUUAACUGACUCGCUCGGACCAGCUCCUCAAUCUUGUCCAUCAGGGUUACACACUCCUCCGUAGUGUGGCCCAUGUUCUUGUGGUAUAAAUAGUGUUUGUUACCAUUCGCCCCUGGUGGCAUGGGGCGUCGCUUCUGCGCCGGAAUCAGUUUCGCACUCAGCACCUCUUACAAUAUCUUCGCCCGAGGAGCGUUCAAUGGGGUGUACUGUUGAAAAUGAGACCCUUUAGGUAACUCUUUGUUUGAACUCUCACAGUCUUCCGAACGGACCGCCUUGCUUCUUGGUAUCCGUCUUCUCCCCCUUCGCUUCUUGACCCUCCUUCCUAUAGCUUUGUUUCAUCUCUUCUACCCUUAUUUCGUCGGCCACCCGUUCUCUCAGCUCUUCCAUGAUCUUCGGUGCCCGUCGGCACACACUAUCCUUAAAGGGUCCUGGCUUCAAGGCUGGUAGUAUGUAUUGGAGGGCAAGCUCGUAAUUAAGACCCUUUACCCGCCGCACGAUUUUCUGAUAGCGAUCCAUAAAAGUCCUCAAGGGUUCUUCAUUCCCCUACCUUAGGUUCACGAGCUCAAAAAUGGUUAGGUCUUAAGCCCGACUACUAACGAACUGGCGUCCAAACAUGACUUUGAGGCUCUCAAAGUUUUCGAUAGAAUUAGGGGGCAGCGAGUUGAACCACUCUAACCCCUCUCCUUCGAGCGAUAGAGAGAAAGCUCGGCACUAGAUAGUGUCGUUCCCGGUGUUGAACGCCAGUCGGUUGGUCGUCUUGAUAUGAUCGUCCGGAUCAGUCGUCCCAUCAUAAAUCUUGAAAUUGGGCGGGACGAACUGUUCGGAUAUGUGAACAUCCAUAAUAGUUUGGAUGAACGGUAAGUUUCCGGAAGUGCUCUCGGCUUUCACCACCAAUUGUCUACUAACUACAACACUCUCGGCAAGGACGAUCUUUGUCCCACUCUCUCGGACCCUGGUCUCGGUCGGCUUCCACGUCUCGUCCGACAUAGUAUUUUGUUCAGUCCUCUCCUCCUAGGCAGCCUUGCCCCGACCCUCUAGUGCCUUCUCCCCCGUUUUCGGGAUCUUCUUCUAAGCAAUCCGAGCCGAACACUUGGCCCGAACGACUGCCAACUCAGCCUCAUGACGUUGUUGUUUUCUUCCAUUUUCUGUUGUAGCAUCCUAAUCAUCUCUGUGGGGUCUUUAGUGCUCAUGUUCCUCGUGGUCACCAUUGGGUUUGACAAGUUACUCGGUCCCACGGUGGGCACCAAAAUGUUUCGGGUGUAAGGUCGAGUUACUUCCAACACCUGCACAAUUGCUGCUAUGAGACCGUCCGUUCUUCUACUCGAGUCUUCGUCUCUUAUCAGCCGUCCGGAGGUGUACCUGCCAAAGGUUCUCCGAUUCUAAAGUCAAUGAGUUGUCCGUUUGGUAGCUCAAUUCACAGUAAAUACUCUUAUCUACUUCUUACUUUUGACCUGUAUUUAUAGUUUUUGUCGUGGGCUUGGAAUUAGCAGAAUCUUGAUCACGGCCCAAUCCCAGCCCAAUACCUCUAAUCAUUAUUUACUUUAAUCUUUGUAAGAAUACCUGAUUAUGGAUUUUCACCGGUCGUUCAUUACUGACAAUCCUGCUAAGUUGAUCACAUGGUGGCUUUAUGGUCGUCCGUCCCAUAAUGUACAUGCCGAUCGUUCAUUAUCGAUUGUCCGACUAGGUUGAUCACAUGAUGGCUUUAUGGCUGUCCGCCCUUACGGUAUACAUUGUAAUUGCUUUGUAUUGUCUGAACGAUGAUACUAAGAAAAGGAAGGUUUGAUUUUGUUGCUUGACGUGGGCCCAUCCAUAUGCAUUCUGUUCUUCCUUGAGACUGAAAAAGUCUGCUCCUUGCGUGUACAAAAGAAGAUGAUGUUUAGAAAAGAUGAUAAAGUUGGAAUAGUGUUAUUUGGAACUAAGGGUACUCACUCGCUUUAAUCUUUGCUAUACAAUUAAUCUUGUUGAUUUGGUUUUACGUGUAUUACUUAUUUUAUUGUCAUGUGAUUCACUAAAAAGGGUGGCUGUCUGUAAUGCAGA